UUCAUUUUCUGGAACUACUCAAAACAUUUAUUUUAUCACCUCUGUGUGUGUUCAGCUGAAUACUCACUGUUGCAAGGGAAACUCUAACUAGAUCAUCCAUUGUCUGCAGAGAGAUGGGAUUUCAGAUGAGCCCUGGAAAAUCAUCUUACCAUGAGGCUAUAAGCAAUUUUGAAAAUGGAAAGUAGAGCAUAUUUACUACACCUGAAAACUGAAGCACAGAGAGGUUAUGUGAUUUCUGAAGAUCACACAGUAACUGUCACAGAUUAGAUUUGACCUCAGGCUAUACAUCCAGAGCCUGCACUCCUAGCCUUCGUUCCCCACUGCAACCAGGGUAAUAGAAACAUGACUGCCUGAUGCCUGAGCAUCUCAUGAGAUCCAGAGACCCUUCUUUCCAUUUGAUCCAAUGAGGCUUUGCCACCACGUCACAGCGAGAGCAGAGGUGGCCUGAGAAAGAAGACAGUAAAGAGACUCCCCGGGGACCAUCAGUCUGAGUCUUCCCAGCCAGUGCACAACUCCCCAACAUGGCCAGUCACCAAGGACAAUGCUCCCAUGCGGCAGCAACUCUGAUACUGUUCUGUGCAUCAGCCAUCGGUCAUUGUGAGCCAACCGGCCCCUGCGUCUCUGAGACAAGCCUCACCAGUGCGUGCAUGAGUGUGUGCACGUGCAUUAGCACCUCCUUAUCUUCUGGAACUACGAGAUGCUCCAGACACAUCUUACAGAGUCACUACCUGUGCUGUAGGUGCCAAAGCUCCUUUUACUGGGAACUGGGGACUCAGACCUGGGUGCCGGCUGUGCUCAUUGCUUCUGGUGUGACAUUUCUUUCAAGCUUUCUCAAGUCGCAGAGCAAAGAAAUCGGUAUGUGUAACUAACCUGUACAUAUACACAUAUCUACAAAUAUUUCCACACACAGCCGUCUGUAUCAGGCUAACCACGAGUCCUUACUCACCAACCUCACCAUCACGUGGCUUAUUCUGCCCGCCCCUCCUUGCCUACCUGCAAAUUCACACUCCACAGGACAGCGAGGAACUGGCACCCACCAUCUGCUCUUCACAUCUUUUGACCAUUUGCAAUUGGUUUGCUUGUUUUCUUAUUGUUGAACUUUAAGAGUUCUUUGUAUAUUUUUGAUGUAUAAAAUCUGUGCUUUUAAAUUAUAGGAAUAAAGCCAGUAUGCCCUUAAAACUAUAGUCCAGGGAGAUGGCACUAUUUGUGGAGUCUUGUAAUAAACUAAUCAUUCACCCUGUUCAAUAUUUAUAUUAAUACCUUUUCAAUCAUUUUUUUUGCGUGUAAAAUGUAUGUCCUUAUUUGAACACAUUAUCUUUUAUUCUUCUUCCCAAGAGAUUUAAAGGGGAAAAACAAUCAACUAACUGACUAGGUAAUAUUUCGUCUGUAUCUCUUUCUCAGGAAAGAAUAUGUUGCAUGCUUUGUUGAAUUUCCUUUACUAUUUGUAUUGCUCAUGUCAGCUCCUGUUUUUAUCUCUUCAGUGAAUAGAAGGUAUUAUCUAUCUACCUAAGGCCUCUUAAAAGUCUAUACCAUUUCUUCAAAAUGUGAGAAGACGGAAUAUAGUAUACUUCAUGGUUAUGUACAAAUGCACAUACACAUAAAUAUUAAAUUUUAAAAUAACAAAUAGCAUGUGAGAUAGAUGUUUUAUUAAAGCCUCAAAAAGAAAAAGGAAAAAAAAAGUAAU